rnacentral:sRNA from 1 species
UCAAAACUAGAAUCAUGUCAAAACUUAGUUUACAACAAGAAUCAUGGAAAUCAUACCUUAUUUUCAGCUUCAGCUCCAAGUACUAACUUGGACCAAAAGUUGGACGAGACGACACAGAACGGCAAGGGCAAGGGCAACAGAUUUCCAUGUACUGCAACAAGUAGAAGGAAAACAAACGUGCAUAAGGAACCAUAUAUGCAAGAAUCAAGACAAGAUAAUUACAAAGAAGCUCCAUCUAAAGGUACAUACUUUUCAGCAUCAUCUGAUCCUAACUAAUAAAUUUUUCAGAGUUUAACUAUAAUGUU